AUCAUUUUAUCCUGACUAACAUUCACCUUGCACUUUAUUAUCACCUAUGACUCCAUUCAUUUGAGUUUGCUUGGCAAAACAGGGUGAAUAAGUGAAACAUUACUUCUAUAUUUUUGCAAACAUUGUAUCACUUUAUGAAUAUUUGGAGAACUCGAGAAUUCCUCCAGAAGCCUGAGGCUUGAAAGCACUUGCUGCAGUCAACACCUUAUAAGCCGUCAGAUCUCUGCAAAGUAACCAUAGAUGAAGUGUAUUUACAUUGGAAAGAGAAAACUGUGCUAUGGUCCAUCUUCUUCUGGGAUCAAUGAAGGAUCUCUCAUCCAUUCUCAUGCUUCUGAUACUGUCAAUUCAGGAUUCAGUGAAGUCUCCAAGUGCUACAUAUUCUAUAAACAUAAUGAAUUGCUAUGGAAGACUACAAAGGUAAAGCGUCAUUUUCAUCACAUCAUAUCAGUGUACAAACUAUUCACAUUUUGUAUCACACCUGACUUAUCACUUUGAUGAAUAUCUGGAACAACAGUUUGAGGUAGCAUUUGCCAAAUUUCCCCACUGUAAAGUUACUCUUUUUGUUCCAUUUUCCAUUAUGUGCUCUUUGGAAGGGAUUCACUAUGUGACUUCUAACAGGACCUAGAAAAUUUGUUGUUUUUUAGUUUGCUACUUUGUUGUUUGUUUUCUUGUUAUGUGGACAAGAGUCUCAAAUUCUGAGUUUUUCUCAUACUAGAAUCCUAAUAUAUCAGAAUGCCUUUUAAAAGUAUAAAUCGGGUAAUAUUUGUCUCAUAUGCUUACUUUAUGAUUUGGCUACCAAACCUCAAGUUGUUUCUUAAAGUGAAAUGAUAACUUUUGUUCAUGUAAAAAAUCUGUAUGCAAACAUUUAUAGUGGCUUUAUUAGGAAUCACACUGACUAGAAACAAUACAAUUGCUGAAUUGAUAAAAAACAAAGACAUGAAAAAAAGUGACCAUGUUACAGUACUCUUCAUAGUGAAAGGGGUGAAGCACUAAUAAAGGAGACAACAAAUGCA
rnacentral:lncRNA from 13 species